rnacentral:rRNA from 1 species
GUAGUUAGCCGGGGCUUCCUCCUUGGCUACCGUCAUUUGUUUCGUCACCAAGGACAGAGGUUUACAACCCGAAAGCCUUCUUCCCUCACGCGGCGUUGCUGGGUCAGGCUUGCGCCCAUUGCCCAAUAUUCCCCACUGCUGCCUCCCGUAGGAGUCUGGACCGUGUCUCAGUUCCAGUGUGGCCGAUCAGCCUCUCAGCUCGGCUACCCAUCGUUGGCUUGGUGAGCCGUUACCUCACCAACUACCUAAUGGGACGCGAACCCCUCUUAAAGCGGAUUGCUCCUUUGACCUCAUCCCGAUGUCGGGUCGUGGUCUUAUGCGGUAUUAGCACUUGUUUCCAGGUGUUAUCCCCCUCUUUAAGGCAGGUUGUUCACGCGUUACUCACCCGUUCGCCACUAAAGUAUCAACCGAAAUCAAAUACUUCCGUUCGACUUGCAUGUGUUAGGCACGCCGCCAGCGUUGUCCUGAGCCACUGAUCAAACUACUAGA